rnacentral:rRNA from 1 species
UAUUGGUGUUCGGUUCGGCUUGUGUAGGAUAGGUGGGAGCCAGUGAACCCGGGGCGCCAGCCCUGGGGGAGGCGACGUUGAAAUACCACCCUGGCGGCGCCGUCGUUCUCACUCCUUGAGGUGAUCCCUAAGGAGGACCGCGGCUGGUGGGGAGUUUGACUGGGGCGGUCGCCUCCCAAAGUGUAACGGAGGCGUCCAAUGCUCACCUCAGGCUGGUUGGAAACUAGCUUUAAGAGUACAAAGGCAGAAGGUGGGUUUACUGUGAGACAAACAAGUCGAGCAGUUGCGAAAGCAGGGCUUAGUGACCCUUUGGCGGUGUAUGGGUGCGCCAAAGAUCAUCGGAUAUAAGCUACCCCGGGGAUAACAGGCUUAUCUUGCCCAAGCGCUCACAGCGACGGCAAGGUUUGGCACCUCGA